CUUCUCGAGUUUACCUUUAUUAACCGGAAGGGACCCCAGAGGGGGACUCGGGUGAGGGUGUGGCCUGGAGGGGAGGCCACGCCGGAAGGGAACUUGGGCCCUGCCUUGCCCUGUGGCCGGACGCAGGGUGGGCACCUCCUGGACGCAGGGCCAGCCCUCAGCACCCACCUGCCGGCCCCAGCUCCCCUCCGAGAGUGGCCUUCCGGAGGGCAGCUACAGGAAUGAGCCAACAGGGGCCUGACUGUUGGCCAUAGGGUGACAGUCCUGGGAGCCCAGAGGCGGGGGGCGCAGGUGUCCCUCCAGGUAGAGGACAGCUUGAUCCUUUACCCUGGGCAGCCCUGGGCUGCCGCAGGCUGGCAGUCUGGGUGGUGGUUUCUGAUGAUGUGGCUGCCCUCUGCUCCCUGGGGGUCUGGGAGGGGACAGAAUGGAGGGGCUGGUGGGUGACCCCCGCUGGGAGGACAGGGCUGUGUCACCGCAGCUCUGCUUACCUGGCUCAGAAAUGAGGGGCUUCAGGGCACUUCAGGGGUGGCUUCUCUCCCUGGGCAGGGGCCUGGGCAGGAUGCCCUGGGGGUUGGGGUGCAAGGGCUCUGGAUGAGAAGGGCCCGGGGGCCCCCCACCCCCAGGCGUCAGUUCUGCUGCCCUCUCCACCACAGGAGGAGGUCCCGAGCUGUCCCUCUGUCUUGGGAUGGCUUGCUAGUGUUAGGUGGUGGUGGCCAUGGCUGUCCCCAGGGCCUGGGGGAUGUGUCCCCAGGCAUGACUGGCCUGGCAUCCGUCCUGGUGGGAGACCCCUUUCUCGGGGUCGGCACUGAAGUCGGGGGCGGGCUUCAUGGGCCCCAAGACAUCCCGGUCGCCGGAUGGAGCUGCUCACGGCAGGACGGGCCUCGCUCCUCCUUUGCCAUUUGGGGGCCCAGCCUGGGCGGGACUUGGCAUCUGGAGACGGGAAGGGCUGGGGCUGUGGCGCUGGGGCAGCUGCUCACGGAGGCCUUUCCCCGGGGUCAGGAUGGGGUGGGGAGAAGCCACUUUUUUGUCUUCACACUUGCUUGGAAAUAACGUCACAGUUGCAGAAAGGCUGUGAGAGCACGUCGUCCGCCCAUGUGUCCCCACGCCCUGGAUCCCCGGCUUGCUGGGCGUGCGUGGGGUGCGCGCAUGUGUUGUAACGUGUGUAGGUGUGUGCCUGUGUCGCGUGAGAGCGAAGGUAUGUGUGGGUGUGUUGGCCGGUGUGUGUUGUGUGUGCAGGCUGGGCAGGUGUGGGUGUUGGGCACACAAGAGUAUAGGUAGGAAUCGCUCUGUAUGUGUGUAGGGGUGUGUGUGUGUGUGUGUGUACAGGUAGGUUUGUGCUGUGUACAUGUGGGUGUGCUCGUGCACGUGUGUUGUGUGUGUACCCGUGUUGGGUGCAUGUUCUCCUGUGUGAGGUCUCUGCGGGGCUCUCGUGUGUGUUUGGUGCACACCAGGCUCCAGAGAGUGGCUGCGGCUGUGGCAGUUCCCCUAAGGCACCAUCUGCGCCCAGUUUGGUCAUAAGCGGUGCUGGUGGCGCCUUGGGGUGAGCAGGAAGCGUCUCGGCCCUGCUUCCCGGUGGACGGAGCCUCGAGGUCGUGCUCAGCCCCCUUACCUGCUCUGGUCGCUGACCCCCAGCUCCUCGUCACCGGCCCCACUCCUCCAGCUCCUUCCUGUGGGCCCCCUGGGUGGCUGGUCCCUCGUAGGCCUCCUCAGGAGAUGGGGACACGGAGGACAGCCGGGAGCCCGGGGCCCAGGGCUUGGUGGCCAGCAGCCCCAGGCUGUAGCCCAAGGAAGCAGAAAUGGGUUUCGUCCCAGGGCCAGUGCCGAGGGAGGGGGCGCCCGCCAGCAGAGGCGGGGGCAGGGGCCCAGGGCCCGGCCUGCUGGGGGAUUCGCUGCGGUGUCUCCUUGCUCCCGUGAGACUGGCCACCCCCCCUGCAGGAGGACUGCCAUCCACGCGUGGCCUGCCUGGAUGUGGCAAGGAGGGAUGGCAAAGAUUCUGGUGUGGCCUCGCGUCGUGCCCGAGGCUGGGAUGGCCCCACCAGAGGACAGUUUCCAGGGAGUGGCCAGGGCCCCUGGCUUGCCCCCUUUUGUUGGCUGAAUGGCACCCUUUGCCUGGUCCCCCGCUUCUCCUCCCCAGGGGCUGAUGUCAGGCCUCCCUCCUGCCUGGCCUGCUGCCGUCGCCUGAACGCUGUCACUGCCUAGUGAAGAUCCCUCAGGGCCUCCCACGGUCCCCAAGCCCCGAUGUCACUGGAGCCUGGAACCUAGCCAGCCCCUGGAGCGCUGGUCACUGGCCUUCAAAGGGACAGGGCUCAUUGACACAGCCCCUGCCACUGAGGUCCCUCAGGGUCACAGAGUGAGCAGAUGGCGACAGUACCCAGCUGGCUGCUGCUGGAACUCAGCAAAAGGAAGAGGCCGGCAAGGAAGGAAGCUCGCUGGGACUUCUUCUGGAGAAUUCGAGGGCGGGGAGGAGCCGGUGGGCUCCCGCGGGCAGGGGUUGGGGGCCUGGGGGCCUGAGGGCGGGGCACCGGCAGCAGGCAGGGUGGGUGAGGGGCUUGGGCUGCGAGGGCCAGCGGUCAGGGCAGCGGGCAGGGAGGCCAGGGUCUAGGGCGUCCCUCAGCCACAGCCCUGCCCCAAGCAGGCCGUGUGUCUGGCCCCGCCUCCAAGAGUCAGGGUCCGGGGCCCAGCCUUUUGAGGGACUUCCUGGUGCUCAGGGUUCCUGCUGCACAGGAGGUAGGGACACAGAUGGGGGGGUGGGAGGCACUGUGGGCACUGCAGGAAGACAAAUGGCCACCUGGCCUUCCUGGGACAGUCCCCUGCUGGCGCCCUCCUCCUGGGCAGUGCGGGAGCAGGGAAGCUCAGGGCUGGCCCCAACCACGCCGCUCCUGGUGGCAGCACUCCCGGGGGUGGGGGUGGCUCAGAGCUGGCUUUGCUCUGGCCUCUUUUCAGUUUUCUGCCCGCUGGCCUGGUGGCCUCCAGGAUGCGGUGGGGGGUGCUGGGGGGAGGUCCUACUGGGCCUGAAGGGCAGAGCCUGGCCCGUGAGGAAGGUAGGCAGGCCUGCUGCCCUGGACCACACACCGGGUCCUUGUGGGGCCUCUGGCUGCCAGUGAGGGACCCGAGGGUGGGGCUUCUUGGGGGGAGGGGAGUAGGAAGCGCCCUAAGGAGAGCCUGUCCCUCGGACGCCUGCCACUGGGGUGGUCAGGGCGGCCUCUGUGAGACGGGCGGAGCCGAGGUCUGAAGGGCUAUUUGGGGAGGGGGUGGCGAGGGGGAGGGCUUUCCAGUCAGUACAGCUGUGAGUCCAAAAGGCCCUGCUUCUUCCUGACCCUCCAGCCACUCUCUGCGUGCGUGCACGCGCACACACACACACACACACAGCAACACAAAGAGAUGGGUGCAUGAGCAAACACCCACAUACCCUCGUGUGCACACAUGUAACCCAUCACAUACAGACACACAUGAACCCAUGCAAAUCCACACGUCUGCAUGUACACGUGGGCCCUGGUAAUGCUAGGGGUUGGUUGUAAAGAUGCUAAUAGUCCAGGAAGAAGAGAGGCCCCUGGAGGCUCCUGCCUGAGCCUCUGUCUGAGGCAGCUGCACAAGCAAGGGGGGACGCACCUGGGACAGGCCUUCUGUGGGCUCCUGGGGCCUCAUCUCCAGUCUGUGGUCAGGUGGGCUCUGAGAGCCAUGGCCACUGGCUGCCACAUCUUCAAACCAGGAGGCAGGGCUUAUGGCCCUGGGGGUUCUGCACCCCUCUGGCUGCCAGGACAGGGGUCUUCCCUGGCACUUUGAAGGCUUGUGGGGAAAGGCCCUUGGAGGCUGCCUGAUGGUCGUCCGGGUCCGGGGCUGCCUGGGCAGUGAUGGCAGGGGCCUCCAUGGCCUGGUGAGAGCGGCCCUAUGUGGGGUUGGGGAUAUGACCGCCACACCCAGAGUGCCCCACACUUCACCACUCAACUCUCAGUGCUGCCCCACCCCCUCCCUGCCUCUCCUGUGUCCUCAGCAUGUGGUCACCCUCCUGGGAGCAACAUGGAUCUUUUGAGUGACCCGUGGGUGACCACAGGGCCAGUGGGUCAGCAUCCUUUUCAUUCUGCUCGCCCACCCUGUUGCUUCAAAGGACUGAAAACAGGAUGAGCCAGAGGGAGUCUGAGUGACCUGUGAGGUCCAUGAUGCUAAUGGUGCUGCACCUGUCACUGAAAAUGACGGUGGUGAUGGAGUUGCUGCUGGUGAUGGAGGUGGAGGUGGUGGUGGUGGAGGAGGUGGUGGUGGUGGUGGAGGUGGAGGUGGUGGUGGUGGUGGUGGAGGUGAUGGAGGUGGUGGUGGAGGGGGUGGUGGAGGUGAUGGAGGUGGUGGAGGUGGUGGAGGAGGUGAUGGAGGUGGUGGAGGGGGUGGUGGAGGGGGUGGAGGUGGGGGUGGGGGUGGUGGGGGUGGUGGGGGGGGGGGUGGUGGUGGUGGUGGAGGAGGUGGUGGUGGUGGUGGAGGUGGUGGAGGAGGUGAUGGAGGUGGUGGUUGUGGUGGAGGUGGUGGAGGUGGUGGAGGAGGUGAUGGAGGUGGUGGAGGGGGUGGUGGUGGUGGAGGUGAUGGAGGUCGAGGUGGAGGUGAUGGAGGUGGAGGUGGAGGUGAUGGAGGUGGUGGUGGUGGAGGAGGUGGUGGUGGUGGAGGUGGGGGAGGUGAUGGAGGUGGUGGUGGAGGUGAUGGAGGUGGUGGUGGUGGUGGGGGUGGUGGUGGUGGUGGUGGGGGUGGUGGUGGUGGUGGAGGAGGUGGUGGUGGUGGAGGAGGUGGUGGUGGUGGAGGUGGUGAUGGAGGUGGUGGAGGUGGUGGGGGAGGUGAUGGAGGUGGUGGUGGAGGGGGUGGAGGUGGUGGUGGAGAUGGCGGUGGAGGUGGUGGUGGUGGUGGGGGAGGUGGUGGUGGAGGUGAUGGAGGUGGUGGGGGAGGUGAUGGAGGUGGUGGUUGUGGUGGAGGUGGUGGAGGGGAUGGAGGUGGUGGUGGAGGGGGUGGUGGAGGUGGUGGGGGAGGUGAUGGAGGUGGUGGAGGGGGUGGUGGAGGUGGUGGUGGAGGUGAUGGAGGUGGUGGUUGUGGUGGAGGUGGUGGAGGAGGUGAUGGAGGUGGUGGGGGAGGUGAUGGAGGUGGUGGAGGUGGUGGGGGAGGUGAUGGAGGUGGAGGUGGUGGCGGAGGUGGUGGAGGUGAUGGAGGUCGAGGUGGAGGUGAUGGAGGUGGGGGUGGUGGUGGAGGUGAUGGCGGUGGAGGUGGAGGGGGUGGUGGAGGUGGUGGGGGUGGUGGUGGAGGUGGUGGUGGAGAUGGCGGUGGAGGUGGUGGUGGUGGAGGGGAUGGAGGUGGUGGUGGAGGUGAUGGAGGUGGUGGUGGUGGUGGUGGGGGAGGUGGUGGUGGAGGUGGGGGAGGUGAUGGAGGUGGAGGUGGUGGCGGAGGUGGUGGAGGUGAUGGAGGUGGUGGAGGGGGUGGUGGAGGUGGUGGGGGUGGAGGUGGUGGUGGAGGUGAUGGAGGUGGUGGUGGAGGUGGAGGUGAUGUCGAUGACCACAUUUAGGGAGUGAACAUGUCUGGUUCACUUUCCAGCCACAGAUGAGGAAACUGAGCACAGAGAGGUAGGAGAACUGGGUGAGGCCUGAGGCUGCCCCUGACAACGACUGAGGGGGGCCCACCUUCCUGUCUGCUGUCAUCCAGAGGCUCUGCUCUGUCCCAGACUCAGUUCCAUCUGGAUUCCCUCUUUGUCCAUCAGGGUCCCAUCCCAGGCCUUGGUGGCCCUUGUGGCCUGGUGCCUACAACAGGCUCAGGAACACUUGUCGAAGGAAGAGCAUCCAGGCGUGAGUGGCCCUCACCCCAUGGGUCUUCCCUCCUUGGUCUGAAGUGGGGAGGGGGCUGUCUCUGCUGUCACCUCCCACAGAUGGCCUUUGAGCCUGUCCUCGCCCCUGGCGGCCCCACCUCCCGUGUUCAGGAGCAGAAUACAGCAGUGGCUCCAGGGCACCCUCGUGUGGCGAGUUCCAGCACUGGCAGAGCUCAGACCCAGGUCUGCACAUGUGUGCCAGAGCGAGGUGGGCCUGAGCUGGCUGUGUGUGCUUCUGCAGCCGCCGUCCUGACCUGCAGAUCCAGUGCCUGCUGUGGGGCCGCGACCCUGUGUGCCUUCUGAGCUGCAGCAGGGCACAGCCUGAGGCUGGGAGUGCAGCACUCCUGCUGUGGGGGUGCCCAUGACUCACAGGGCCGGACUUUCCGGGGCUGGUCGGCAGGAGGGUCCACAGCAGGCACUGUCUCCGUCACUCUCCGAGACAGCCCGGUGCCCUCCCCAAGUGGCUGAGGCUCGGGCAUAAACUCCUGUGGAGGUGCAGCC
rnacentral:lncRNA from 1 species